rnacentral:lncRNA from 1 species
GAAACAACAGUAGAGCUAUGUUAGUUAUUAGUGGGCUCCUCCAACAAUAAAAAAAACACCUGUACCCUAAGCAAGUACACACAUAAUCUCAACAUAGAUUUUUCAUUUUCUUUACAAAAGAAAGAGCUUAAAGAUUUUUCUAUGUCCUCUGUAUUUUCUAGCUGUGAUUUACAGUGCUAAAUGCAUUUUCACACAUGCUUAUGAAUCAAAUUAUAGUAAGAAAUCCUCCUAAUCUGUGACGUAUUUCACUGUUCCAAAGAUUUCAGCAAAACACUCUUAUUUGGCAAGAAACUGGAAAGCACAGAAAUAUAUAUUUUAAGUUCAGUGCUUAACCUUUUCUCUGUUGUCUUGAAGAAUUUACUACCCAUCUGCAGAGCUGCAGCUUCUAAUCACUGUAAUGAACGUGUUUGGCUUUACUAACUGUUAAUGCCAUUUAGUUUUCAUUUUUCUCACUGAAGCAGUAAUAUUUUCUGCUCUCUGAAUGGGAGACUGUUAUUUUUCCUUCCAGGCCAUGCUACUAAUGUUAUUCAUUUUGCAGAUGCAUACGUUUGAAUUUUCUACGUAGUGAAAAAGGGAGGACUUGACACAAGUGUAAAUGGAGCACAGCACAAGAAAAGAUGCUGCCCAUAGGGAGGUCAUUUUCCUUUCUUCUAGGAGCUAAAUUAGUGAGGAACAUAUGCAGAUGUUUGUUUGUGAAGCUCACUGGGAUUUAGCACCUUACAGGUUAAUAAGGAGAAAAAAACAGAUGUGAAAUUGCAAUAUAGAAAUGUCCAUUCAAUCUAGAUGGUAGUGCAGCUCUUGCAGUGUGGUGGAGCUUUAAGGAAGGUAAUGGCCCAGGAGGCAGUGGAACCACUGGUAUUUCUGGUGCAUUUCCUUCUUUGACCUCUACACACCUAUUGCUGACAUUGUAAGCUGAAGAGCCUUGGAUAUCAUGUGUUGUGCACUGUGUUCUUUUUGCAUGUGGAAUCUGCAUGCAGGCUGAUGGAUGACUGCUUCUUUUCGAAGCAACGAGAUUAGAAAUGGCUGCUCUACUUCUGUCUGAUGUAAGAGCACAGGCCCAGGAUGACUGCUCAGGAUCUUCUUGCAGGAGUGUGACCCCUGUAUGACUUGAGACAAAUUGUGACAGUUCAUGGAUUGCUGCAUUUCCCCUCAUGUAUCAUUCAUGAUGUCAGCUCCCCUUUUAUCCUUCCGCUCUGUUCACUUAGCAUCAUGGCUGCGGGAAGCAAUCUCAACUGAAGUACCACUGAGCACCUUCAGAGAGAUAAUGCCUUUCUUAUUCUUCCAAGAAGAGUCUGAAGUGUCCUUGGGAGUGGCAUCGUUCACAGGUGGAAGUAUUUGUGAAGAUUUUGAAGUCAAGGAUUCAAAGUCAUGUGGAUGGAGCACACCAAGUGCCUGGGGUUUUAUUGCUUCGUGGCUUCGGGAUUGUUCACAGCUCCUCAGUUCUACUUUUAUUGACAGGCUCUUCUUUUCACCUUGCUGUGUUUGAACAGAGUGUACCUUUUUGUUACAUAUCACUGUUUUAACACCAUAUGUUGUAGAACAGCAAUUAGACUCGCUGGAAUGCAUCGACAUCCCUUCCUGAAGUGGUAUCAGUGAUGAUGGCAUCUACACUUAACUUGUUUUCUGGUUUCGACUGAUAUCUUGUGGUCUUGGCUUCUUGACCUGCACUUCUGUCAAUAGGUGGCAACGUGUCUAAGCAGAACAGACACUUGGAAGCUUUGUUUGCCUUAAAGUGCUUGACUUGUUUUUGCAGCUGAAAGCAGGCAAGUGGAUCAGUUCUAUCCCAGCCGUGCACCUGGUCAUAAAGAAAUGAUAAAUCUAAGGCAGCCCAGAGCACUGCAAGGAGAAAAAUGUAGAGGAAAUAGUGUUUGCUGAUGUAAAUAAGCUGCCACUUUGUGCUGGAAACAAGCAGUUAGGUUGGAUAUUAGGAAAAAUUCUUCUCCAAAAGAUUGGUCAGUGGUGGGGUCACCAUCCCUGGAGGAGUUCAAGAAGGGUUUAAGUGUGGUACUGAAGGACAUGGCUUAGUGGGAAACAUCGGUGGCAGGUAAAUGGUUGGACUGGGUCAUCUUGGAGGUCUUUUCAACCUCGGCGAUUCUGUGGUUCUGUGAAUCCUUUUCAAAAGAACACAACUAUUUCUAUGAGAAAAAAAAAAUACUAUAAACGGAAUGGUCCUUUUCACUUCCAAAGAACAAGUUAGGUCUCUUCUUUUUUAUUUUUAUUUAUUUAUUGAUUGCUUUUCCACUGCAGUCUUAACUGCGGCUUUUUUUAGUCCCCACACUUUCCCAAAGCCUUAAAGCCAAUCACAGAGUCUGGAGAGGUGGUUAAUGCUUACCUAAUAAAAUUGCAUUGAGCUCCAUCAGGGCACACAGAAGGCAGACUCACAAGGUCACGAACUGAAGUAAACUCUUACAACUCCAUUUUCUUGUUAUUAUCGUAGGUUUCUUUGGAUCCCGAUAUUUAAAGUAAAAUAUGUAUAUUCAAAUCCAAACCCCCCAACCGCAGAGUAACCCUUCUCUGUCACCUCUCUGUUCAUCAGAACAUGCAGUCCUUUGGAAAUCAUUCACUUACCCCUCAGAUCAAACAUCCUGGAUAAACUCUUGUGCAUCAUACAGCUUACGUCUUCGUAGAUAAAGAGCACACGUCCUGGUUAGAUGAGGAUAAUAAUUGGUAUAAAGGAUCGAUAUCUUUAUUGAUUCUUUAAUACAAUACUUAACACUUUUUAGAUGCAGCACCGGCAUAUGCCUUAAAUCUGAUCUGGCAUUUCUCUGAGAUUUCAGAUGUUUUCACAGGGAAAAUUCAUUAUGCCUGCCAAAGCAGUGUAGGGAGGUAUUUGUAAGUAUCCACAUACAGAACAAAUGCAUCACACAAGGCUUACACACUGUCGAAGCAAUUAUCAGUGUCAGAUUCACGUAGUCACGUGUGAUUGUUAAAGUCCUGGGUGAUGCUGUAGCAUAACACCCACAGAGCUCAUCAGCAUCAGAAGAGCUGCACAGAUGUGAAUGAGAGCAGAAGCUGACCAUUUUGAAUGCAUGCACUGAGUCACCGCAUCACCUCAAAAGCUGAUGUAAUCAUAAUGCACUUCGCCUUUACAUCCAUUUUCUCUCUCCACAGUUCUCAUUACUAUAAAUAACCCUGUUUUGGAAAGUUGAAGCAGAAAUAUGACAAUGGCCACUUUGGAUAAGCCCCAGCACAGACACUCCUCUCCCUGUUAGUGGUUCCGUCAUAGUUCUGCUUAAUGCUCCCCUGCACCAGCAUCUUUCUCCUAGGUUACCUGAAGUUGGGACAACAGCUAAAUGCAGCACUGCCCUCCGUGAUUUGGAUCAGUUCUGCCUUUUUCUCUCUGAAUUAAAUGAUAAUAAAACAGAGGACUGAAUGCAGUUGGGCUGGGAGCUCUCAGGCAUCGAGCUGACUUGAAAUGCAGUCUGGCACUGUGGAAGUGUCAGGGCUGGGCAGUACCACGCAGCAGAGCAGAGGCUGCCUUUGGCUGCUUGCAUCAGCUGGAAGGUCUGCAGAAAGCGAGUAGGACAGCGUUACUGGGAGAACAUUUCUUUCUAUGAAAAAGAUGUGCAAAAGGAUUCCAGCAGUGCCUGACUGAUUGCCAUUUCCUAUGUCCAACUGUAAUGUAAAACCUUUUGCUUUUCUCACACUGUAACAGAGCCGCACUGUGUAGCUCCAGCAUUUACAUGACAACUG